GAUUUGUCAUUAAUCGCUGAGAGAGAAUCAUUGAACAUUCAGUUUGGGAAAGACUUGGUAGAAGUGUAAGAGACUUUGUGGAAGUUCGGGUUAUUGUUUAACCCAGCUUGUGUGGUAUCUGUUGAGACCAACAACGGGAUGAGCAGCGAGGGGCAAUGUUAGAGUUUGACCAGGUGAUUGGGCUGCGGAAUUAUGAGAAGAAGGGACGAGGAAACUGACGUUGAUGUUAAUUCAUGGAAGUUGGGUACAGCUGAAGUGGAAAUUGAAGUUCCACAUGUGGGCUACUUAUUAGCCAUGAUGUUGUGGUGGUGAAUAACAAGUGUAUUGUUAUCGUGCAGCAUCUCGGUGAAUAACAAGUGUAUUGUUAUUGUGCAGCAGAAACAUAUUGUGUAAAUAUGGCUGUAGUAUUUAGAGCUGAUCUGAAAUGGAGGGUGCUAACUAAUGUUAGUACAUAAUUUAGUUAGAACAAUAUAUGUAUAUAAAAGUUGAUCACGAGGAAGUGAAUCAUAAGGAUUGUGGUAUGAACUGAAACAUUUUAUAUUGAACUGUGUGGUUUUAGUAUAUUAUUUUGUGUGUUGUGAUACGUGAUAUUUUUAUAUGAAAUUAUGUGUAAAGUGGUGAUAAUGUAUGUUUAUUAUAUAUGAGAAGUGUGAGUGUUGAGGGAGUGCUGGUGAUUAGUGGUAUGUGAGAGGGAUAUAAUUAGGGUUAGUAAGUAGGAGUGGAGAAUGAAUGUGAUUGUUAUUUGUGUGCUGUAAAUAAAUGUAAUAUAAUUUA